rnacentral:rRNA from 1 species
UACGGGGGGAGCAAGCGUUGUUCGGAUUUACUGGGCGUAAAGGGCGCGUAGGCGGCCACCGCAAGUCGGUUGUGAAAUCUCUGGGCUUAACCCAGAAAGGUCAACCGAUACUGCGGGGCUAGAGUGCAGAAGGGGCAACUGGAAUUCUCGGUGUAGCGGUGAAAUGCGUAGAUAUCGAGAGGAACACCUGCGGCGAAGGCGGGUUGCUGGGCUGACACCGACGCUGAAGCGCGAAAGCUAGGGGAGCGAACGGG